GGGAUUCAUUUCCUAGUACGUAGUUAACGGCGUGAAGUGACGGCCUGGGGAGUACGGUCGCAAGAUUUAAACUCAAAGGGAAUUGACGGGGACCCGCACAAGUCGGUGGAUGAUGUGGAUUAAUUCGAUGCAACGCGUUAAACCUUACUCUACCCGGUGACAUGCCAUCGUAACGAAGCAGAGAUGCAUUAGGUGCUCGAAAGAGAAAGUGGACACAGGUGCUGCAGUGGCUGUCGUCAGCUCGUGUCGUGAGAUGAUUGGGUUANAGUNNCCGCAACGAGCGCAACCCUUGUCUCUAGUUGCUNCGAAAGNGGCACUCUAGAGAGACUAGCCGGUGACAAACCGGAGGAACGGUGGGGAUGACGUCAAGUCUCUCAUGGCCCUUAUGGGUAGGGCUUCACACGUCAUACGAAUGGUGCAUACAGAGGGUUGCCAAGCCGCGAGGUGGAGCUAAUCCCAGAACAAUGCAUCGUAGUCCGGAUCGUAGUCUGCAACUCGAAUACGUGAAGCUGGAAUCGUCUAGUAAUCGCGGAUCAGCAUNCCGCGGUGANACGUUCCCGGGUUCUUGUACACAACCGCCCGUCACAACCAUGGGAGUGGGUUUUGCCAGAAGUAGUUAGCCUAACCGCAAAGGGGCGAGNACCACGGCAGGU
rnacentral:rRNA from 1 species